rnacentral:rRNA from 1 species
UACGUAGGUGGCGAGCGUUGUCCGGAUUUAUUGGGUUUAAAGGGUGCGUAGGCGGCCCUGUAAGUCAGUGCUGAAAUAUCACAGCUUAACUGUGAGGGUGGCAUUGAUACUGCGGGGCUUGAGUACAGAUGAAGUAGGCGGAAUUGACGGUGUAGCGGUGAAAUGCAUAGAUAUCGUCAAGAACACCGAUAGCGCAGGCAGCUUACUAAGUUGUAACUGACGCUGAGGCACGAAAGUGUGGGGAUCAAACAGG